ACAUGGAACACCAGAACAAGCAGAAUAGGAGCUGGGUUCCAAGGCCUGGGAACAUGAACUCAGUUUUGAUCCGGUUAGCUGAGACGGCUGGACUCAGAAAACUGUCUCCUAACAGUAGAAAGAGAGCAAUGGGAAGGAUGUAAGAGCCAGGGGACCAUUUGCUGGUCUGCCAAUUAUCUUAGAGUCUUUGCUGAAGAUUCCUGGGCUGGGAAAUCCACUCAGCCAGGAGGAGAAAGAGACCCUCAAGGACCCUGGCUCUAUUUUACCUGCUGCCCUUGACCAUGUGGUGAUACUCAAAUGACCAUUCUGGAUUCCUAGACCUUGGAACCAGAGCCAAAGAAACUUCUGUGCUUUAUAAGUCACUCAACCAGGAAUACUCAGUUAUAGUAACAGAAAACAAAGCUAAGUCACGCAGGAUGUAAGGAGAUGAGCCCAGAUAGAGAUAAGGCUACAGAAUUAAUCAGAUGGAAAAAUCACUCCUGUACCUGGUCAUGUUAGAACUGCAUCAUGUUUUUAUACUGGGAAAAUGUAUUAAAUACAUCCUCUGCC
rnacentral:lncRNA from 1 species